CCUACGGGUGGCAGCAGUGAGGAAUAUUGGUCAAUGGGCGCGAGCCUGAACCAGCCAAGUAGCGUGAAGGAUGACUGCCCUACGGGUUGUAAACUUCUUUUAUAAAGGAAUAAAGUGAGGCACGUGUGCCUUUUUGUAUGUACUUUAUGAAUAAGGAUCGGCUAACACCGUGACAGCAGCCGCGGUAAUCCGGAGGAUCCGAGCGUUAUCCGGAUUUAUUGGGUUUAAAGGGAGCGUGGAUGGGUUGUUAAGUCAGUUGUGAAAGUUUGCGGCUCAACCGUAAGAUUGCCAUUGAUACUGGCAGCCUUGAGUACAGUUGAGGUAGGCGGAAUUCGUGGUGUAGCGGUGAAAUGCUUAGAUAUGACGAAGAACUCCGAUUGCGAAGGCAGCUUACUAAACUGCCACUGACAUUGAUGCUCGAAAGUGUAGGUAUCAAACGGGAUUAGAUACCCGGGUAGUC
rnacentral:rRNA from 1 species